AUGCCAACACUAGUAGUGGUACUGAUGGCACUUGAGCUCCUCCUCGUAGCAACAGCCGUCGCCGGUGGCCCAGUAGCCUUGCCUGGCUGCCCGGAGGCCUGCGGCAGCGUCACCGUCCCCUACCCUUUCGGCUUCCGGCAAGGCUGCUUUCACAAGGGCUUCAACCUCACCUGCGACGAGACACGCCAUCCGCCGAAGCUGCUCCUGGGGGACGGCGUGGAGGUGGACGCCAUCUCCCUUGCGGACGGCACGAUGCGUGUCGAGGGCAAGACCGUGAACGGCGCAUUCACAUUCGCCGAUAACCUGACCACCCUAGCGGGUAACAGAAACCGCAUGUCAAAGCCAUCUCUCAACUCCAACGGCUCGUGGUCCAGCGGCCUAAUGGGUGCCGGCGGGCAGCGGCUCGCGGUGUCGACCGAGCGCAACGUCUUUGUGGCUUACGGAUGCAACUUCAUCGCCUACCUCGUUGCCGAUCCUGACCCUGCAGGCAGCUCUCGGCGUACCGAGUAUGUCAGCGCAUGCACCCCGCUGUGUGACGGUAAUUUCACCGCCGCAGAGACCAGCUCCUGCUCGGGCAUCAGCUGCUGCCAGACGACCAUCGCGCGGGGCCUACCCACGUAUGGGGUGCAGUUCAGGGAUUUGGACCAGACGGAUGUCAAAGAGCGCCGCCCGUUUGGGGCCGCGGUCAUAGUCGAUCGCGAGUGGUUUGCCGGGAUUACUGCAACCAUCAUGCAGAUGGAACUUGCGACGAAUUCGGUGUUUUAUGAAUAUCGUCGGCAUGGGCGUACCAGCCCCAGCGUGAUGAGCGUACCCACCGUGCUGGAAUGGUGGCUAGAUGUAGAAGGUGACCGUGACUUGGCCUGGUUGGAUCUCCAUUCUGCAUCUGGUUUGAGAUGCAAAAGCUUGAAUAGCUUCGCUUCCGCCGUUGGCACAGGGCUCACAGCAGUGUACACAGGCCCACAGCAGUGUACACAGCAGCGAACAAAGUAAGGUGCAACUGCUCGGAUGGAUACGAAGGCAACCCUUACAUCCUGCACGGGUGCCAAGAUAUCGAUGAGUGCCAAUCCCCAGGUGUUUAUCCAUGUCCACAGGGAACCUGCAUAAAUAUGCCAGGAACAUACCGAUGCUCAUCAACAAAGAAAAGUUUCAGCAGGCUCCCAGGCUUAAUUUCUGGAAUUGCAAUUAGUGCUGGUUUUGGGUUACUAUUUUCACUUCUGGGUGUUGCCAAAAUCACCAAUAAACUCAAGCAACGAAGAGCCAAGAAGUUGAGACAAAAAUUCUUCAAGAAAAAUCAUGGGCUGCUUCUACAACAGUUGAUCUCUUCAAACAAAGAUAUAGCAGAAAGAACAAGGAUUUUUAGCUUGGAAGAGCUGGAGCAAGCAACCAACAAAUUUGACCAUAAUCGCAUCCUUGGAGGUGGUGGCCAUGGCACAGUGUACAAAGGCAUCUUAUCUGAUCAAAGUAUCGUCGCCAUCAAGAAGUCUAAAAUUGUUGUUCAACGGGAAAUCAACCAGUUCAUCAAUGAGGUUGUCAUACUUUCACAAACAAACCAUAGGAAUGUGGUGAAGCUCUUUGGCUGCUGCCUCGAGACUGAAGUUCCUCUACUUGUUUACGAGUUCAUAUCAAAUGGAACUCUCUCGUUUCAUCUCCAUGGCCAAAGUGAUAACCCAUUGUCAUGGAAAGAUAGGUUGAGGAUUGCACUGGAGACUGCAAGGGCCAUUGCAUAUCUACACUCUGCUGCUUCCAUAUCAGUAUAUCACAGAGAUAUCAAAUGUGAAAAUAUACUACUAACUGAUACCUUAACAUCAAAAGUAUCAGAUUUCGGAGCGUCAAGGUCAAUUGCAAUUGAUGAGACAGGAAUACUUACGGCUGUCCAAGGAACCUAUGGUUACCUUGAUCCUGAAUACUACUACACUAGCCGGCUCACGGAGAAAAGCGAUGUUUACAGCUUUGGUGUCAUCCUAGCAGAGCUACUGACAAGGGUGACACCAGUUUUUUCUUCCCAUUCGUUGGAAGGCACAAGCCUAGCAUCACAUUUUGUGUCAUUUAUAAGAGACAACCGAUUGUUAGAUAUUCUAGAUACACAAAUUGUUGAGGAAGGAGGGGCUGAAGAUGCUGAGGUGGUUGCAAGACUCGUGGAAGCAUGCUUAAGUUUAAAAGGUGAAGAAAGGCCUACAAUGAGACAAGUUGAGACAACACUCGAAGAUGUGCAGAACUCAAAGUUCCAUUUCAAUUCUCAGAUCACAAGUGUGAACCAGAAUGCUAUGAGCGAUCAGUUAUACAAGGGAAGCAAAGGUAGUGAAGGAACUAGACUGUACAGCUUGGAAAAAGAGUUCAUUCAAUCAUCUGAAAUUCCAAGAUGA
rnacentral:rRNA from 1 species